rnacentral:sRNA from 1 species
CUCUAAGUUAAUUAGGCUAACAAAAUGGUCUUCCCAGUGAACAAUAGCAAAUCUAGCCAUGUCUCCUGCGUUCGAUGAAAACGCGCGUACAACUUUUUCCGCCAAUAAAUUGAGCCAAUCACGUUGCGAGAUACAUUUGGCAGUGACGAAUACAUCAAAUCUACGUCGCACUUACGUUUUGACACAAUAAAAGUUUAUCUUCAAGAAGAAGAAUUUAAACCACCCUGAUUUGUGAAAAGAUGGCAGCGAAUGAAAAGUUGAAAUGGUGCCAGAAAGGAAGGAACGAUUUUGAAUGCCUCAUAUGUAAUAGAAAAUUAUCAUCAAAGCAGCGUGUCUUCCUUCACCUCAAGGCUGUCCAUCGGUUAUCCUCAGAGAGCAAUGACACAAGAAAAGAGUACAGAAAACAGGACUGUUGGAAAAAGUCAGAUGAUGGAAAAUAUGAGUGUUCUGUCUGCAAGAAAAAACUGGCCUCAAAACAAAGAGUGUUGAUGCAUCUUCAUGGGGUGCACAGAAUGAGUAAGUUAGCAGGAGCUAUGCAGGUAAUUCAACAACAUGAAUUAGAAGAUUCCGUGAAAGCAAAUCUGAUUAAUUUGUUACAGGAAAACUUCCUGGAUAAAUUAAAGAAACUGAACAGAGUUGUUGUUAAUGAAAAGCGUUUCUACUCGGAGCAGUACACACGUAUGCAAAAAAGAAUCUGUCCAGUUGUUCUCUUCAGAAAUAAUGAAAUUGGCAAAAUCAAGUACUUCGUGUUCUGUAAUUACACUGAUUCUGUGUACGCUGUUCUCCAAAAAUUGGAAAGAAUUCCAGAAGGACAAGAAAACCAUUACAUACCAGUUACAUUCUCACAAGAAAUUGUUGUGUCCAAUGUUGAGAACCUGAUAGAGGUUUUAGUUUAUCUUGAUUUACAGGAUGUAAAUAGGAAAUAUGUGAUAAAGAUGCCCAAUGGCUAUGGCCAUGCCAUAUUCAAGUGAUUGCGUGAUGCUAUUUUCUUAUUAAUUAAAGUACGGACAGAGGCAAACUUAAUGCAGUGUAUUGAAAUUCCACUGAAACAGAAUAAAUACUCAUUUAUCAGGA